ACGGUCCUAAGGUAGCGAAAUUCCUUGUCAGGUAAGUUCUGACCCGCACGAAUGGCGUAAUGAUUUGGGCACUGUCUCAACAGCCCGCCCGGCGAAAUUGUAGUACUGGUGAAGAUGCCAGUUACCCGCAACUAGACGGAAAGACCCCAUGGAGCUUUACUGCAGCUUAAUACUGAAAUUCGGUAGUACAUGUACAGGAUAGGUGGGAGACUGAGAAAUACAGGCGUCAGCUUGUAUGGAGUCGCUGUUGGGAUACCACUCUUGUACUGCUGGGUUUCUAACCUGCGGCCGUGAAUCCGGUCGGGGGACACUGUUAGGCGGGCAGUUUGACUGGGGCGGUCGCCUCCAAAAGAGUAACGGAGGCGCUCAAAGGUUCGUUCAGCACGGACGGAAAUCGUGCAUUGAGUGUAAACGCAUAAACGAGCCUAACUGCGAGACCGACGGGUCGAGCAGUAACGAAAGUUGGAGUUAGUGAUCCGGUGGUAUGUGAGUGGAAAUGCCAUCGCUCAACGGAUAAAAGUUACCCUGGGGAUAACAGGCUGAUCUCCCCCAAGAGUCCACAUCGACGGGGAGGUUUGGCACCUCGAUGUCGGCUCAUCGCAUCCUGGGGCUGUAUUCGGUCCCAAGGGUUUGGCUGUUCGCCAAUUAAAGCGGCACGCGAGCUGGGUUCAGAACGUCGUGAGACAGUUCGGUCCCUAUCUGUUGCGGGCGUAAGAGAUUUGAAGGGAGCUGUCCUUAGUACGAGAGGACCGGGAUGGACGUACCUCUGGUGCACCAGUUGUCCUGCCAAGGGCAUAGCUGGGUAGCUAUGUACGGACGAGAUAAACGCUGAAAGCAUCUAAGCGUGAAACUCUCCCUAAGAUGAGAUCUCUCAUCCAUUAUGGAGUAAGGGCCCAGAAAGACGAUCUGGUUGAUAGGCCGGAGGUGGAAGCACGGUAACGUGUGCAGCUGACCGGUACUAAUAGCCCGAGGGCUUGACCUA
rnacentral:rRNA from 1 species